UUGCUCAAUUUAUUAUUGCGUUACGAUUUCAAAGUUAAAAUCCAAUUAAACUUUUGAAAAUCGUUUAGACGCAUAAAUUUUGUUGCUCGGCUUAUUAUAGAGUGAUUCAUACAUUAGUCCAUUCUAAGUUAGCUUGGAGCUAAAUUCGGUCGCUUUCGAUUUCAGUUUGUUUCCGGUCUCGUGGCUUACUCUUGGGCCUUCUUACAAUAAGCUCUUAAGCAACAUCAACUUAACUUUCAAUAAUUUCAA
rnacentral:lncRNA from 1 species